AGCGCGCCUCCGUGACGUCACUCGCUUUGGAGGCGGGCUCAGCAAGCGGCGCUCCACCGCCAUUGGUCGGGAGCCCUGCAGUAACCAGGGGAACUGCAAACAGUGUAGGGGCAGCUUCCGGUUCGAGCACCCGUAACCGCCGUAACCGCCGUAACCGCCGCCUUUAAGGAUGGACGAGAUCGGUGCAGAUCCGAACAGAAGCCGGCUCGAGGCUGCACAUCGAACCCCCCGUGGACUACUCGGAAGAUUUUGAGUCGACUGAGGAUGACGAUGCCAAGACCAUGGAUGUUUCUGGGGAUCGUCCACAGGUGAAGGAGGCUCAGUCCCACCAUGGGGUCUGGAUUUGCACCAAGACUGAAAAGAGGGCCAAGGCUGCUUUGU